GCACAAGCGGUGGAGCAUGUGGUUAAUUCGAAGCAACGCGAAGAACCUUACCAGGUCUUGACAUCCGAUGUUAUUUCUAGAGAUAGAAAGUUACUUCGGUACAUCGGUGACAGGUGGUGCAUGGUUGUCGUCAGCUCGUGUCGUGAGAUGUUGGGUUAAGUCCCGCAACGAGCGCAACCCCUAUUGUUAGUUGCCAUCAUUCAGUUGGGCACUCUAGCGAGACUGCCGGUAAUAAACCGGAGGAAGGUGGGGAUGACGUCAAUCAUCAUGCCCCUUAUGACCUGGGCUACACACGUGCUACAAUGGUUGGUACAACGAGUUGCGAGUCGGUGACGGCGAGCUAAUCUCUUAAAGCCAAUCUCAGUUCGGAUUGUAGGCUGCAACUCGCCUACAUGAAGUCGGAAUCGCUAGUAAUCGCGGAUCAGCACGCCGCGGUGAAUACGUUCCCGGGCCUU
rnacentral:rRNA from 1 species